AGCAGCCGCGGUAAUUCCAGCUCCAAUAGCGUAUAUUAAAGUUGUUGCAGUUAAAAAGCUCGUAGUUGAAUUUCGGGAUUAGUAAGUUGGUCGUGCCUCCGGUAUGUACUAGCUCUACUGGUUCCUCCUUCUUGAAGAACUGUAAUGUCAUUAAUUUGGUGUUGCAGGGAAACAGGACUGUUACUUUGAAAAAAUUAGAGUGUUUAAAGCAGGCUAACGCUUGAAUACAUUAGCAUGGAAUAAUGAAAUAGGACGUUUGAUCCUAUUUUGUUGGUUUCUAGGAUUGACGUAAUGAUUAAUAGGGAUAGUUGGGGGCAUUAGUAUUCAAUUGUCAGAGGUGAAAUUCUUGGAUUUAUUGAAGACUAACUACUGCGAAAGCAUUUGCCAAGGAUGUUUUCAUUAAUCAAGAACGAAAGUUAGGGGAUCGAAGACGAUCAGAUACCGUCGUAGUCUUAACCAUAAACUAUGCCGACUAGGGAUCGGAUGAUGUUAAUUUUUUAAUGACUCAUUCGGCGCCUUA
rnacentral:rRNA from 1 species